rnacentral:rRNA from 1 species
AAAUAGAUACCCGGGUAGUCCAUGCCGUAAACGUUGGGCGCUAGAUGUGGGGACCAUUCCACGGUUUCCGUGUCGCAGCUAACGCAUUAAGCGCCCCGCCUGGGGAGUACGGCCGCAAGGCUAAAACUCAAAGGAAUUGACGGGGGCCCGCACAAGCGGCGGAGCAUGCGGAUUAAUUCGAUGCAACGCGAAGAACCUUACCAAGGCUUGACAUAUACGAGAACGCUCUAGAAAUGGAGAACUCUUUGGACACUCGUAUACAGGUGGUGCAUGGUUGUCGUCAGCUCGUGUCGUGAGAUGUUGGGUUAAGUCCCGCAACGAGCGCAACCCUCGUUCUAUGUUGCCAGCGGUUCGGCCGGGAACUCAUAGGAGACUGCCGGGGUCAACUCGGAGGAAGGUGGGGAUGACGUCAAAUCAUCAUGCCCCUUAUGUCUUGGGCUUCACGCAUGCUACAAUGGCCGGGUACAAAGGGCUGCAAUACCGUAAGGUGGAGCGAAUCCCAAAAAGCCGGUCUCAGUUCGGAUUGAGGU